UACGUAGGGGGGCGAGCGUUGUCCGGAUUUAUUGGGCGUAAAGAGCGUGUAGGCGGCCAGGUAGGUCUGCUGUGAAAACUCGAGGCUCAACCUCGAGACGUCGGCGGAAACCAUCUGGCUAGAGUCCGGAAGAGGAGAGUGGAAUUCCUGGUGUAGCGGUGAAAUGCGCAGAUAUCAGGAAGAACACCCGUGGCGAAGGCGGCUCUCUGGGACGGUACUGACGCUGAGACGCGAAAAGCGUGGGGGAGCGAACAGG
rnacentral:rRNA from 1 species